rnacentral:rRNA from 1 species
GCAGCAGUGGGGAAUUUUCCGCAAUGGGCGAAAGCCUGACGGAGCAAUACCGCGUGAGGGAGGAAGGCUCUUGGGUUGUAAACCUCAAAACUCAGGGAAGAAGAAAGUGACGGUACCCGAUAUAAGCAUCGGCUAACUCCGUGCCAGCAGCCGCGGUAAUACGGAGGAUGCAAGCGUUAUCCGGAAUCAUUGGGCGUAAAGCGUCCGUAGGUGGCAUUUCAAGUCCGCAUUCAAAGACCGAGGCUCAACCUCGGGCAGGGUGUGGAAACUGAAAAGCUAGAGUACAGGAGGGGUAGAGGGAAUUCCUAGUGUAGCGGUGAAAUGCGUAGAGAUUAGGAAGAACACCAGUGGCGAAGGCGCUCUACUGGACAUGUACUGACACUGAGGGACGAAAGCUAGGGUAGCGAAAGGGAUUAGAUACCCCUGUAGUCCUAGCGGUAAACGAUGGAUACUAAGUGUAGCGGGUAUAAACUCCGGCUGUGCUGAAGCAAACGCGUUAAGUAUCCCGCCUGGGGAGUACGCACGCAAGUGUGAAACUCAAAGGAAUUGACGG